AUUGAACGCUGGCGGCAGGCCUAACACAUGCAAGUCGAACGAGUGGCGGACGGGUGAGUAAUGUAUGGGAAACUGCCCGAUGGCGGGGGAUAACUACUGGAAACGGUAGCUAAUACCGCAUACCAUAAGAUCUGCCCAUAUGGGAUUAGCUAGUUGGUGGGGUAACGGCUCACCAAGGCGACGAUCCCUAGCUGGUGUGAGAGGAUGACCAGCCACACUGGAACUGAGACACGGUCCAGACUCCUACGGGAGGCAGCAGUGGGGAAGUUUGGACAAUGGGCGCAAGCCUGAUGCAGCCAUGCCGCGUGUAUGAAGAAGGCCUUCGGGUUGUAAAGUACUUUCAGCGGGGAAGCGUUACCCGCAGAAGAAGCACCGGCUAACUCCGUGCCAGCAGCCGCGGUAAUAC
rnacentral:rRNA from 1 species